GACGAACGCUGGCGGCGUGCUUAACACAUGCAAGUCGAACGGAAAGGCCCUGCUUUUGUGGGGUGCUCGAGUGGCGCACGGGUGAGUAACACGUGAGUAACCUGCCCUUGACUUUGGGAUAACUUCAGGAAACUGGGGCUAAUACCGGAUAGGAGCUCCUGCUGCAUGGUGGGGGUUGGAAAGUUUCGGCGGUUGGGGAUGGACUCGCGGCUUAUCAGCUUGUUGGUGGGGUAGUGGCUUACCAAGGCUUUGACGGGUAGCCGGCCUGAGAGGGUGACCGGCCACAUUGGGACUGAGAUACGGCCCAGACUCCUACGGGAGGCAGCAGUGGGGAAUAUUGCACAAUGGGCGGAAGCCUGAUGCAGCAACGCCGCGUGCGGGAUGACGGCCUUCGUGUUGUAAACCGCUUUCGCCUGUGACGAAGCGUGAGUGACGGUAAUGGGUAAAGAAGCACCGGCUAACUACGUG
rnacentral:rRNA from 1 species